UACCAGCUCUCCGAGUGGUGGGGAUGCUUAUUGGGCCUAAAGCAUUCGUAGCCUGCUUGACAAGUCCUCCGUUAAAUCCAACGAUUCAAUCGUUGGGCUGCGGGGGAUACUGUCCGGCUAGGGGGCGGGAGAGGCCGACGGUAUCCUCGGGGUAAGGGUGAAAUCCUAUAAUCCCGGGAGGACCACCAGUGGCGAAGGCUGUCGGCUAGAACGCGCUCGACGGUGAGGGAUGAAAGCUGGGGGGAGCGAACCGGAUUAGAUACCCGGGUAGUCCCAGCUGUAAACGAUGCAGGCUAGGUGUUGGCGCGGCUACGUGCCGCUCCAGUGCCGCAGGGAAGCCGUUAAGCCUGCCGCCUGGGGAGUACGGCCGCAAGGCUUUAAACUAAAGGAAUUGGCGGGGAGCACCACAAGGUGUAGAAGCUUGCGGUUU
rnacentral:rRNA from 1 species